rnacentral:lncRNA from 1 species
CUGGCGAGGAUGGACGAAGCCAUGAAAAAGAGGGAAAAGAAAAGAGGAAGGAGGGUCGUGGCUUACCUCCGACUCCAGUAAGGUCUCCGGCGAGAAUUUGAGAUGAAUACAAUAAGAACAUCCGUAGCUUCAAUGGAAAAAUUCGAGAAAAAUAAGAGGAGAAUUCGGUGCUCGUCGUGGCUAGCCUUAGAGGAAAGGAGAGGGGGUUUUUAUAGGAUGGAGGGGAGGUCGUCGGAUUCA